rnacentral:lncRNA from 1 species
AAGCUUCGGGAACAUGACGCAUUUAGUCUCUCUGGAUCUCUCUUAUAACAAUCUCACAGGCGAAAUCCCAGAGAGCCUCGCCAAUAUUUCGACGCUGAAACAUCUCAAACUAGCUUCAAACCACCUCAAAGGCCACGUCCCUGAGUCCGGUGUGUUCAAAGACAUCAACGCAGAUGAUCUGAUGGGAAACAAAGAGCUCUGCGGCAGCAAGAAGCCUCUCAAGCCAUGUAUGAUAACCAAGAAGAAGUCAAGCCACUUCUCCGAAAGAACUGCAAUCAUCGUGAUUGUUCUUGUAUCAGCUGCAGUUCUUCUUCUCAUACUCGUUGUCCUGAUUCUCAUCUGCUGCAGAAAAAAGGAGAAAAAGACUGAAGCCUCAUCAGAAUCUCCAAUGCCGGAUUUGGAUUCAGCUCUGAAGCUAAAGAGAUUCAACCCAAAAGAGCUUGAACAAGCAACAGACUCAUUCAACAGCGCCAACAUCAUCGGCUCAAGCAGCUUAAGCACAGUCUACAAAGGUCAUCUCCAAGAUAACACAGCGAUCGCAGUAAAAGUCCUAAACCUAAAGCAAUUCUCCGCAGAAUCAGAUAAAUGGUUCUACACAGAAGCCAAAACGCUAAGCCAGCUGAAGCAUCGAAACCUAGUGAAGAUCCUAGGGUUCGCUUGGGAGAGCGGGAAGAUGAAGGCAUUGGUGCUUCCGUACAUGGAGAAAGGAAGCUUAGAGGACGCGAUUCACGGCUCCGGUGAACAGAUCAGAGGCUUCACCGAGAGAAUCGAUCUGUGCGUUGAUAUCGCUAGCGGAAUCGAUUACCUUCAUUCUGGAUUCGGAUUCCCGAUCGUUCACUGCGAUCUGAAGCCGGCGAAUAUACUCCUCGACGGAGAUCGAGUCGCUCACGUCAGCGAUUUCGGGACUGCGAGGAUUCUAGGGUUACGUGAAGAUGGAAGCGUUACAGCUUCUACAUUAGCCUUCGAGGGGACGAUUGGGUACUUAGCUCCAGGUAAAAUUCAAUAUCCAAACAAUAUUUUAUAAGUCAAAACAUACGUGGCUUAAGGGAAGCUUCGAACCUAGCUCCUCUUGAACAAUAUAGAGAACCGUAAACCACUAGACUAGACAAAUUUCAAAACGACCGGUAAAAAGUUAAUCAAAUGAAGAUAGGAAGCCCAUGCUUUAUUGGGCCAGGGCCGGUUCCAUUGAUUCACUCACUAUUUUCUUUCUUCAAUGAACAGAGUUUGCUUAUAUGAGGAAAGUGACGACGAAAGCGGACGUGUUCAGCUUCGGGAUUGUGAUGAUGGAGCUGAUGACGAAACGGAGACCGACUUCGGUGAUCGAUGAAGAAUCACAAGGGGUGAGUCUGCGUCAAGUGGUGGAGGAAGCGAUUGGAGAUGGAGUGGAAGGGAUGAUUAGGGUUCUUGAUUCGGAGAUUGGGUUAUCUAUUGUUACUAGGAAGCAGGAAGAGGCUGUUGAAGAUUUGUUGAAGCUUUGUUUGUACUGUACCAGCUCCAGACCUGAGGAUAGGCCCGAUAUGAAUGAGGUUCUUACGCAUUUGAUGAAACUCAGAGGGAAGACGAUCCCAGUUCCAGAUCGCAAUGGUGAUUUAGAAGUGUAACAGUAAUGGUUUAAUCAAAGUCGAAGACGAGCUUUGUUGUGCGAGUGUCGUACUAUGUUUUUGUAAUAUCCGGCGGAUAUCCGGAUUUAGAUUUGGAUCCUUAAAAUAAAUAAAUAAAAUAAUAUUAAUAUAUAUAAAAUAUUAACAAUAAUUUAAAAAUAAAAAAUAUUUAAUGUUUUUAAUUAUUUCUAUAUAUAAUAUUACAAAAUUUACAUAAAAUUUACAUAUACUAUCAUAAAAAUGAAAAUAUAUUACAUAAAGUUAGUCUUUAUAUAUAGAUAUUACUAUUUUUGAAAUAGUUAUUAAUAAAACUUAUGGAUCCGAAUAUCCGGACUAAAAAAUCAAGAUAUCCGGAUCCGGAUCCAGCUUUGACAGAUCCAACAUUUUACUAUCCGGAUCCGGAUUCGGCCCCUCUGGAUAUCCAGAUUUUCGGAUCGGAUCCGGAUCGAAUCUCGGAUCGAAUCCAGAUCUCGGAUAAAAAUUUCAGGCCUAAUUACCUACCUACUAAUAAUUUGACUAAAAAUUCAACCUAACUGGUGUAAAAUUGGAGAAACGAACAAUUCACCGUAAUUCUUUUUAAAACAUGGUUACCAAUUGUAACUGGCUAUUUUUAUAACUCAAUAUGUAUAUAUAAAUAGAAGUAUAUUAUCAGAGAAUAUCGUUGUACAUAUCUAUCCGAAAACAAAUGUCGAUAAGAAAAUUCAGAUUAUAACAAAACUUUGAGAGAAGAAUUUUGUUUUCCCUUUCUUUUCCGGGUUGCAAAAAGAUAAAUUAAAAUGCUUGACAUAUUAAAUUGCUCAUAAGAAAACAAAACUUGAAUAUCAUUCCAAAAAAACACUACUUGUAUAUAGAUAUCUUAUUAAUACAGCCUACUAGGUUUUUGAUUCUUCAAGUCAGAACUCAGAAGACGUGUUAAUGCAUUACAUUAUAUAUAUACUUAAAAACCGGAUAUAUAUAUUUCUGUAGAAACAAAAAUGACGAUAAUUGUUUUGUUUUUAAAGUACUCACUAGUCAAACACUAUGUUGCGCACAAUGGUUUUAAGUUUCAAUGAUGCUACUCUUUAGACCAAAAAGGCUGGUCUUUCUCAGUUGCCAAAUUCAGUUCACAUUCUUUUUUCAUAUAAGCGACUAAGCGUUGACGCGCGCUUAUUAUAUAAAUUGAGUAAAAUACACUACAUAUUAUAAAAAGCUAUGUCAAGUUUCAAAUAUAUAUAUACUGAAUAUUUUCGUAUGUAUGUUUAGUUAAACGACCAAGCAAAAUACAAUUGUUUUCAUUUUAGCAGUAAAAUAUAUAAAGUUGAAUAUAACGUUUGUAUACAGAAGAAUAUUGAUUUAUUAGCGAGAUUAAAUGAAUGAAGAUAUAGUACAUUUUAAGAAUGUGUAUGACUGGCAGAGUGGGAAUGCAUUUAGUGGCUUUAUAUGCAAUUUGGCCGAAUUAUCAUGAACUAUAUAUUAUAAUGCGACUAGGCCGAAUAUAUAUUGCGUUUUGGCCUUUUCACAUCCGUGAUAUGAUCCUUAAAUUUAAUAUCGUCUUGACAGUAUGUUCAUAUGUACAAUCCCACGACUUUAAGUGUGUAUAUACUAUAUAUAGACUAUUAUCUCAUAUCAUAAGUCAUAAUAUUUUCUCGCCAUUUUCAACUCAUCUAAACCAUGACUUCACUCUCAAAGACAACUUUGAUCUUAACUCUCUUCUUCGUAUUCUCUUGCUCAUCACUUGCGAAACAGAAGUUUAAACCAGAGACUGAAGCUUUAAUAUCCUUCAAGAAAGGUAUUUCCGAAGACCCUUUAGGGAUAUUGUCUGACUGGACCACCACCGGUCUGGUACAACACUGCAAUUGGACCGGAAUCACCUGCGAUCGUACCGGUCACGUUGUCUCUGUUUCCUUGAUGGAGAAGCAACUUCAAGGUGUCCUGUCUCCAGCCAUAGCAAAUCUCACCUAUCUCCAGGUUCUUGAUCUCACUUCUAAUAGUUUCUCCGGCGAAAUACCGUCAGAAAUAGGAAACUUAACAGAGCUUAACCAGCUCAUUCUUUACUUGAAUUAUUUCUCUGGUUCAAUUCCGUCUGAGAUUUGGAGGCUUAAGAAUAUUGUGUAUCUUGACCUGAGGGAUAACUUGUUGACCGGUGAUGUUCCUGAAGCGAUCUGCAAAACUAUAUCUUUGGAAUUAGUAGGAUUUGAAAACAACAACUUAACCGGAACGAUGCCAGAAUGCUUAGGAGAUUUGGUUCAUCUCCAAAUCUUUAUAGCAGGCUUGAACCGGUUUAGUGGUUCUAUUCCAGUAUCAAUUGGUACUUUGGUUAAUCUAACGGAUUUUAGCCUGGAUAGUAACCAGUUAACCGGUAAAAUUCCGAGAGAGAUAGGAAAUCUCUCGAACUUACAAGCUCUAGUUUUAGCUGAAAACUUGUUGGAAGGAGAGAUACCAGCUGAGAUCGGAAACUGCACGAGCUUGAACCAACUUGAGCUGUAUAGUAACCAGUUAACCGGGGCAAUACCAGCUGAAUUAGGGAAUUUGGUACAGCUGGAGGCACUCCGGUUAUACAAGAACAAGCUGAAUUCGUCAAUUCCAUCCUCAUUGUUUCGGUUAACGAGGUUAACCAAUUUGGGACUGUCGGAAAACCAGUUGGUUGGCCCAAUACCGGAAGAGAUUGGUUUCCUUACGUCAGUUAAAGUUCUUACGCUUCACUCCAACAAAUUAACAGGAGAGUUUCCACAGUCAAUCACAAACAUGAAGAACUUGACAGUGAUAACAAUGGGAUUCAAUUUGAUUUCCGGUGAGCUCCCGGCGAAUCUGGGGCUUCUUACAAACCUUCGAAACCUUUCUGCACACGACAAUCUUCUUACCGGGUCAAUACCUUCUAGCAUAAGUAACUGCACCAGUCUUAAACUCCUGGACCUGUCUCAUAACCAGAUGACUGGCGAGAUUCCUAGGGGUUUAGGACGUAUGAAUCUUACAUUUCUUUCUCUUGGGCCGAAUCGGUUUGCAGGCGACAUUCCAGAUGAUAUAUUUAAUUGUUCAUACAUGGAAACUCUUAAUCUGGCACGGAACAACCUCACAGGAACGCUCAAGCCAUUCAUCGGGAAGCUUCAGAAGCUACGGAUUUUGCAGCUAUUUUCUAACUCACUCACUGGACCAAUUCCUCGAGAGAUAGGGAAUCUGAGAGAACUGAGUCUCUUGCAACUCAACACUAAUCAUUUCACGGGAAGAAUCCCAAGUGAGAUAUCAAAUCUGCCUCUACUUCAGGGGCUUCAGCUGGAUACAAAUGACCUCGAAGGUCCAAUUCCUGAAGAAAUAUUUGGUAUGAAGCAACUCUCAGAGCUCUAUCUGUCCAACAACAAGUUCUCAGGUCCAAUUCCUAUCUUGCUCGCAAAUCUUGAAUCUCUUACCUACUUGGGUCUUCAUGGAAACAAGUUCAGCGGGUCUAUCCCUGCAAGCCUUAAGACACUUUCGCAUCUCAACACAUUGGAUAUCUCCGACAAUCUUCUCACCGGAACCAUCCCUGAAGAGCUGAUAUCGUCGAUGAGAAACUUGCAGCUUACCCUCAACUUCUCAAACAAUUUAUUGUCAGGAACCAUCCCUAAUGAGCUUGGAAAGCUAGAAAUGGUUCAAGAGAUCGACUUUUCAAACAAUCUCUUCUCUGGGUCUAUUCCAAGAUCUUUACCAGCCUGCAAAAACGUGUUGUUCUUGGAUUUUUCACGGAACAAUCUCUCAGGUCAGAUUCCAGAUGAAGUUUUCCAACAAGGCGGCAUGGACAUGAUCAAAAGCUUGAACCUUUCAAGGAACAGUCUCUCUGGUGGAAUCCCUCAAAGCUUCGGGAACAUGACGCAUUUAGUCUCUCUGGAUCUCUCUUAUAACAAUCUCACAGGCGAAAUCCCAGAGAGCCUCGCCAAUAUUUCGACGCUGAAACAUCUCAAACUAGCUUCAAACCACCUCAAAGGCCACGUCCCUGAGUCCGGUGUGUUCAAAGACAUCAACGCAGAUGAUCUGAUGGGAAACAAAGAGCUCUGCGGCAGCAAGAAGCCUCUCAAGCCAUGUAUGAUAACCAAGAA